UAUUAAAUUUUUUUUCUAUUUUUACAAUUAAAAAUUGGUAUGAUUGAUGAAAUAACCAAACGUCGCACUAUGUGUAUUUCAUGCUAUUGUAAAGGAAUCAACUUUUAAUACUAAAAAUGAAAGAAAUUUUUAACA
rnacentral:pre_miRNA from 1 species